AGCUACUAUAAGGUUGUAAGUUCAGCAGAGAACUACUCAGCUAUACUAUCUAAGCUGCGUGAGGAAGGAAUAUCUUUUGAACCCGAUAAUGGAUCUGAGCUACUUCCAAUAACCACUUUCGAGGUAGAUGAUGAAGCCAUGGAUUUGAACAAGGAACUUAUGUCCAAACUUCUUGAACUCGAUGAUGUUGAUGCGGUGUAUACAGAUCAGAAAUGACCAAAUUGGCAGCUGUGAUCAUCAUCUCUGCAAAUGAAGCCCGGUUGUGGUACACUGUAGAUCUCUGCCAGAUCACUGGGUUGACAACAGAUUGAGUUCAACAAAAAAAAACUUUGUUUUUGCUUUUCAUAACUCAAAUUGUCUCUUUGGAAGACAAUUAUUUUUUGCAGGAAUAAUGAUUGUAAAAAUUCAAUUUAUGAGAGAAUAAAGCUGUUUUUUUUUUUGGG